rnacentral:lncRNA from 1 species
CUACCACCUGUGUCACAUCCCAUUAGGUUCUGUGGAUGAGGCAUGGUGCUUGGCACAGACUGACACAAGUUUGGGCAAACUUGGCAGAGCAGCCUAACCCAAAGCGAAAAACAGAAAUGAACCAAGAUACAACCUCUGUGGAAAACCCUACUGAACAAAAGCAACUCUGUGGAGUGUCCUCUCAGCUGCAAAUUGAGACAGAAUUGUGGGGCAAGCUUGGCCACUGAUGCAGAUUCUGCAGCUUGCUACACAGAAAGCCAGAGACCGAGAGCCAAUGACUGAGACUAUGAGUAUUGCCAAGGAAGAAGGCUUUAAUCGGGUGCUGCAGCUGAAAAGAUGAGAGCUCAGCCUCAAAUCCAUCUCCCUGACCAACUAAAGCUAAGGAUUUAUAUAGCAGGGAAGAAGACAGGAACUAGGAAGGGGCAAGGAAGCGAUCCUGAUGAAUGAAGGGUCAGGCAUUUCAUUGUCUGGAUGUGGCGAUCUGCUCACACUGGUCACACCUGGGACUUCCAACAUGAAUGCUUUUGUCACGGAUGCUGCGCUGCUGCUGUUUCUGGUUCUUACUCUGCUUACACCAAGGAGACUGAUGUCCCUGCUAUAACCCCACUUCCGAUGCAGACAGCAAUUCCAAUGCAUUGCAGCUUUCAGGAUUUUCUCACUGUGUUUUUGCCUCUCCUUUUCUUUAAGACAUGAGCAUUUGUCUACGGGGAUGGCCUGAAGUGUAGUCUCCAUUACCCAGAGUCAUCUCACUCUCUGACCUUGACUCAUGAUCUGAGAACAAGUGCUCCCCUGCUUGUCUUCCUGAGGGGCAUCUGUCCCUCUUGCAAACAGAUUUCCUUUGGGCUCUGUCAUUUAGAAAUGCCCUUAUUUAUCUGAAUUAUAGUUCCAGUUCAGAACAUUUACAAAGGAACAGAUUGCUCCCAAUUUUAAAGCAGGUAAAUUCUAAAAGUUGGCAAGCCAGUCAUUUAGAAUUUGAGCCUCAUAUUCCAUAGGUAUGAAAUUAUACAUAAUGAAAAAGUUCCCAGGGCAGCCCACAAAAAGCCUACUUAUCCAAAAUAAAGCUAACCUGAGUUAAUUCAGCUCUAUGGCCUAGCCACAUUCAGCAAUGUGUUUCCAUUAGAAUGCAUGUCUUAUAUCAACUGGGAAGCCAAGAAGGCAGUUCAGAACUGAACUGAAAUCUAUCCUGUGUUGGAAUUUUAUAGCCAGAUAUCAGUUAACCAGGCCCCAGUGAGUGGAGAAAUCUUGGAUUUAGAUUCUCAUGAAAUUCUUUAUCAAAUCCUGGGAUCUUCCAAAAGACUGUGUAAAAUUAUAAUUUAAUUCUGCAGAAGUAGAACCUCAAUUGGAUAUCAUCCACAAAAGCACUGCAAUGUCUAUCUUUUUGGGAUCAUGUCAAAGAUCCUAAAUCCAUGCUUACUUUGGCAGAAAGUAUUAGUGUUUAGUUCAUUAGUAAUUGGCACAUUGGAAUGAUAUAGAGAAGAUUAGCACGGCCCUGCACAAAGAUGCCGUGCAAAUUUGUGAAGCUUUCCAUAUUUUUAUUGCAUUUACUCCAUCAUAUGUGGGAGCUAAAAGAAGGUGAUCUUACAGAGGUAGAGAGUAGAACGUUUACUAGCAGUUAAGAAGGACAUGAAGGUGGGGGAAUGAAGAAAGGUUGGUUAGGGGUACAAACAUAUAGUUAGAAAGAAUAAGUUCUAACGUUAGAUGGUAGAAUAGGGCGACUGCAUUACAUAUUUUGAAAAUAGCUAGAAGAUAGGACUUGAAAUGUUCCCAGCACCUGGAAAUAAAUACUCCAGCUGGAUACCCUGAUACCCUGUCUUGAUCAUAACACAUUCCAUGCAUGUAACAAAACAUCACAUAUACACCAUGAAUAUGUGAAAAUAUUAUGUAUCAAUUACAAAAAGAUACUAAAUCAAGAAGGAAUGCAGGCACCGCUGUUGGAGGUGGCCCUGGCAUCUGGUGAUGAGUAGUAGACAGAGAGACGCAGGCGGGACAUAAGAGAGGCCGCAAACUGUAGGUACCUGAUUCAGGAAGCCGUUUUGAUCCAUUGUGAAUGUAAUUAAGUUGUGUUUUCUGUUCCGAAAGGAUAGCCGUCCCUUCGCCAUUUGUCUAUUCCCCAUUUUUCUGUACUAAUGUUUCCUUAUCUUACACUGAACAGGCGAACAGGCUAUUAAAUAAUACAAGGAAGAAAACAUGAGGGAUUGUCUUUAAAAGUGAUCAAACGGCAAAGGGGAUUCCUGACCAAAGCGAAAGAGGAAUGGAGUGACACCUGCUAUGUGCCAGUCACUGUGCUGUGUCUUUUUUUCUUUUCUUUUUUUCUUGUUUUUUUUUUUUUUUUUUUUUUUGAGACGGAGUCUCGCUCUGUCGCCCAGGCUGGAGUGCGGUGGCGCGAUCUCAAGCUCCGCCUCCCGGGUUCACGCCAUUCUCCUGCCUCAGCCUCCUGAGUAGCUGGGACUACAGGCGCCCGCCACCACACACGGCUAAUUUUAUGUAUUUUUAGUAGAGAUGGGUUUCACCCUGUUAGCCAGGAUGAUCUCGAUCUCCUGACCUCGUGAUCCACCCGCCUCGGCCUCCCAAAGUGCUGGGAUUACAGGCGUGAGCCACCGCACCCGGACUGUGCUGUGUCUUUUCAACUGCCUUUCUUUAUCCAUUCUCAUUAAAAACACACACACACACACACGAAAUGCAUAUUGUUAUCCCUACUUAAUUGACAGAAAUGGAAGCCCGGUGGGUUACAGUAGACUGAGAGCCUUUAGUCAGCAAGUAAGGGCCAUUGCAGGGAUUGAAACCCAACUUCUGACUUCAGAGCGACAGUUUUCCCGCUGCUCCGCAGCACCUUCUACCACUGAAAUAGAGCAUUUCCAUGUCACCCCCUCUAGAAACAAAAACAUUUUACUCAAUUGUUUUUCAACCAGGAAAUAAAAAUAUUCAAAAAGCAAAGAUGACCCCAUUUCCUCUUAACUAUAUUUAAUACAGGGACAGUGAUAAGAGAACACAGUAGAUUUGGCAUUAGCUAGACGAGGCUGGUCAAACUGAAUUAGAAGGGCACAGUUUGUUGACAGCCGCGAUAGACAGUGGGUUCUGUGAAAUGGACCCCAAGCCAGUUAACACUGAUGGGGAAGAAGCCCACCUGCUCGUGAGACUUUGCGUGGGGCCCGGCUCAGUGCCUUAAAUAAGGGAUCAUUAUGUAUACAAUCUGAUAGUAGAAAGAAGGAAAAAAGCCCUGUGCUGUAGAAAAAGUGUUUAAGCUUUUUAGAUUACAUAACGGGAGCUAUAACAUCCACUCUGGUGGCACAAAAAUUAAAUCUAGCCACCAAAUCAUAUCAAAGCCAAAAUACAGAAUACAGGUGUGCUUCUCGUGAGAAGAUCCAUACGCACAAAAUCUAAUCGCGUUCCAGCUCAGCCUCACCGAUACCCGCUCCCGCGAUCCUGUUUCUGGUGCUGCAUGACAAGCUCCCCCUAGUGGGAAGCAGGGACAUUUCAGCAUCCAUGCUCAGCUGAUUCAGAACAAUAGAAAUGUCUCAAGGUUUCCAUUUUUUUUAAAUGCUGCUUUAGUUGGACAGUGAGCAAAAACUGGAGCCAAAACCAGUGGAUUUUCAUGGCAUGCAGGUAACAGUGGGACUUUUCACCCUCCCCUCGUGUUUAUGCUCAGGAAAUCCUAAAAGGACACACCCUGUAAGUGCAGGGAUGUCUGAACAAUCCCGUUCAUGCCUAUGCACACAUCAGUCUCUCUCAAUCCCUUAUCUCCAAUAGGAACCAACAAUAAAAUGUAUCCUAGGUUGUCGCAAACACCGUAUGUGGUGCGCAUAAUCGGAAGGUCCCUUCCUUUUUUUUUUUUUUUUUUUGAGACGGAGUCUUGCUCUCUGUUUCCCAAGCUGGAGUGCAGUGGCGCAAUCUCGGCUCACUGCAAGCUCUGCCUCCCGGGUUCACUCCAUCCUCCUGCCUCAGCCUCCCGAGUAGCUGGGACUACAGGCGCCCGCCACCACGCCCGGCUAAUUUUUGUAUUUUUAGUAGAGACGGUGUUUCACCGUGUUAGCCAGGAUGAUCUCGAUCUCCUGACCUCGUGAUCCGCCCGCCUCGGCCUCCCAAAGUGCUGGGAUUACAGGCGUGAGCCACCACGCCCGGCCUUGGAAGGGCCCUUCUAAUGCUGCUGACACCUGACUUAGUUGGGUAGAACCCCAGCUUCACAUCUGCUUUGCUUUCUGCUUUACUGAUAGCCUUUGUGUGCACUCAAAGGGCUGCUGACAAGAUCUGUCCAGUGACAUUUUUAUGUGCCCUUUAAUCUUAUUUUAUUAACAGGUCAACAACCUUAACCAAGAGUAAGGAAGCCACUUGCUCCAAGUCACAGUAGAAGGUUGAGCAUGUGACUAUUACCAAGAGGAAGUGGGGACACAAGUGACGCCAUGUUGGAGGCUAAUUUGCUGUUUUCACUUCUGAUUAGCCGUUGUCUCGGGAAUGCCUUCUGAUUAUUACUUAAUUUACUGUCCCUAAUGUAAGAACAUGUCAACCUCGAUGCUGUUGCACAAAUUAUAGGCUUUGAUGCAUGCAGCAUUCUUGCCUCUUCUGGAGGGUAGUCUUUCAUUGUCUUGCACAGGGCACACAUACCCUUUCCCUAUGCUAUAUAAGCCCUGGUUCUGGGGGUAACAGGUGCAGAGAUCUACCUGUAUUGCUGCCGCUAAAGACCAUGCUUCCAUCUGUAAGUUUCCCCAGUAAAACAUCCUUUAUCAACAAACUGGAGUUGUGUGGCUUGUUCUUUGGUUUCUUGGCUCUUUUGGCCUUUGGGGGCUACUUUGCAUAUAUGACCGUUUCAC